GCGGGAUUAGUUUAGUGGUAGAACGAUUGCUUCCCAAGCAAUAGAUACGGGUUCGAUUCCCGUAUCCCGCACUA
rnacentral:tRNA from 1 species